GCCCACGAGUCUCUGUGCCUGGGAGAUAAUUGAGUGUAUUUUGUUUAAACUAAUUAUCUCCCAGGCACUAGAGGUAAAGAAAAUAAAACAUCCCAAAAUACACAUAACACACAUAGGAACCCCCACAAGUAUUAUAUCCUAUAGCCUGGACUUCAUCUUGGACUCGGAUGCCAGCUCAUCAGUCUGACGUAAUGUGCGACGUGGCCAUGGGCAGCCUCGGGACUCCGGACGAACAAUGUCUUUAUAUCAUAUUAUAU